GUUUCCACUUGGAAGAAAGAUUCACAUCAAAUUGACUGGUCAAGGAAAUGGGACACUGACUGGUGGAGUUAGUGGAACCGAAAAAGAUGUCUCCCUCACAGCGUUUGUGACAAAAGAAUUGCAUCGUUCCUUGGCGGCCUUUCAACAGAAGAAUAUUCAGAGAUUUCCCGAGUGGACACAAUCAUCGCCUUGGAAGCUUCAUCACGAUACUACUUUGCAUUUCUGAAGAGGGAAGAAGAAAUCAACAUGAAAAUUCAAUUCCAUGGUUUUGGAAGUCCCAUUGAGAACACGAUUCAUUUGCGCCGGCAUAAUGCUCUGACCGAGAAAGAAUUGAAGUUUCCACUUGGAAGAAAGAUUCACAUCAAAUUGACUGGUCAAGGAAAUGGGACACUGA